GUCACUUUGCCGGAGUGGUUAACGGGAUCGCCUGCUAUCUGACCUACCAGCUUUGGCAUUCAGCGGUUGUGCUUUGCACGCGUGUGUUCGAAUCGCACAGGUGACG